ACGGAAGGCAGCAGUGGGGGAUAUUGGUCAAUGGGGGAAACCCUGAACCAGCGACGCCGCGUGAGUGAAGAAGUAUUUCGGUAUGUAAAGCUCUAUCAGCAGGGAAGAAAAAAUCAAAAUUGACAGUACUUGACUAAGAAGCCCCGGCUAACUACGUGCCAGCAGCCGCGGUAAUACGUAGGGGGCAAGCGUUAUCCGGAAUUACUGGGUGUAAAGGGUGCGUAGGCGGUAAAGCAAGUUAGAUGUGAAACCUCAGGGCUUAACCCUGAGCAUGCAUCUAAAACUACUGGACUAGAGUAUAGGAGAGGAAAGCGGAAUUCCUGGUGUAGCGGUGAAAUGCGUAGAUAUCAGGAAGAACACCGGCGGCGAAGGCGGCUUUCUGGACUAAAACUGACGCUGAGGCACGAAAGCGUGGGGAGCAAACAGGAUUAGAUACCCUGGUA
rnacentral:rRNA from 1 species